rnacentral:rRNA from 1 species
AGGAUGAACGCUGGCGGUCUGCUUAACACAUGCAAGUCGAACGGAGUAGCAAUACUUAGUGGCGGACGGGUGAGUAACGCGUGAGAAUCUACCUUCAGGACGGAGACAACAGUUGGAAACGACUGCUAACCCCCGAUGUACCGAAAGGGCAAAUAUUUAUAGCCUGAAGAAGAGCUCGCGUCCGAUUAGCUAGUUGGAGAGGUAAAAGCUCACCAAGGCGACGAUCGGUAGCUGGUCUGAGAGGACGAUCAGCCACACUGGGACUGAGACACGGCCCAGACUCCUACGGGAGGCAGCAGUGGGAAUUUUCCGCAAUGGGCGAAAGCCUGACGGAGCAAGACCGCGUGGGGGAAGAAGGCUCUUGGGUUGUAAACCCCUUUUCUCUGGAAGAACGCAAUGACGGUACCAGAGGAAUCAGCAUCGGCUAACUCCGUGCCAGCAGCCGC